AGCUGAGCAGCAUCAAACCAAGCAAGAAGGGGGAGAUGGGUGGAGGAUGGCCCUUCCAGAAAAAGGAAGCAGCCAGCACAAGUUUCCUGAGGUUUUUAACCUUUUGAUGACUUUUACACUCAUACUGAACUAAAAAUAAAGCAGAGCAGAGAAAAAUACCUCUAGGUCAACAUAAAAGCUAAACAUUUAGCUGUUGAGGAAGUUUUUU